UGGUUUUCUAGUUUGUCAGUGUCA
rnacentral:piRNA from 1 species